rnacentral:rRNA from 1 species
GACGAACGCUGGCGGCGUGCUUAACACAUGCAAGUCGAACGGAAAGGCCCUGCUUUUGUGGGGUGCUCGAGUGGCGAACGGGUGAGUAACACGUGAGUAACCUGCCCUUGACUUUGGGAUAACUUCAGGAAACUGGGGCUAAUACCGGAUAGGAGCUCCUGCUGCAUGGUGGGGGUUGGAAAGUUUCGGCGGUUGGGGAUGGACUCGCGGCUUAUCAGCUUGUUGGUGGGGUAGUGGCUUACCAAGGCUUUGACGGGUAGCCGGCCUGAGAGGGUGACCGGCCACAUUGGGACUGAGAUACGGCCCAGACUCCUACGGGAGGCAGCAGUGGGGAAUAUUGCACAAUGGGCGGAAGCCUGCUGCAGCAACGCCGCGUGCGGGAUGACGGCCUUCGGGUUGUAAACCGCUUUCGCCUGUGACGAAGCGUGAGUGACGGUAAUGGGUAAAGAAGCACCGGCUAACUACGUG